GGCAGUUUGAGAAAGGAAGAGGGUGUGGAGGGCUUGGAAGGACCAGCAGUUUCCCAGGAAGUCGGAGAUGGUUGGGUGUGUGACAACUGCUGUGGUGAGAUCAGCUACAGGACUGGGCUGAUGGGCGAGCUGGUGGCCUCAAAAGACUUCCCAGAUGUCUACCUUGAAGAGUGGGUGACAGAACUCCUCCAGUGGUGCUGGAGGAGUUUCAGAUAAGACAUUAAGAGAAGGCGCCAGGCAGACCUUGUAACGGCCUUCCAGAACCUGAAGGCUGGGGAGGGACUUUCCAUAAGGGCGUGUGGCGACAAAGACAAGGGGAAAUGGCUUUAAACUGGAAGUGGGUAGAUUUAGGCUAGAUAGUAGAAAGAGAUUUGUUACUGUGUGGAUGGUGAGAUACUGGCACAGGCUGCCCUGAGGGGUUGUGGAUGGCACCCAUGUCAUACUGUGGGCAGAAAGUUUGCAGUCAGCAGAGGGGGUGGGUAGGGCCAUCCAUUUGGCAUGGGGACAGGUUGGAUGAGGACCCUGUCCUGAAGUGAGGUGGGGGCAUCCCUCCAACAUGGAGCUGAGAUGGCUCUCCGGCAUGCAAUGGGGAUGUCCCUGUGGAGACGAGGGGGCAAGCUCAAUCUCUUCACCUACAGCCAGGCAUGACCACCUCAAGGCAAACAUCAGCUGCCCUCUUGCGAGGAUCCCGCUGGUGGCUUGUCCCCUCUGUCCUUGGUUGGGUGGCUCUGGCCCCCAGCAGCCUGGGAUGUCUGAGGGGCUGGACCCGCUCUGGGACUUCAGUGCCAACCAGGAGUGCCCUCCCUGUUCCCACGUGUCCCCCACACUGCCCUUCUCCCUCAC
rnacentral:lncRNA from 1 species